UACAGAGGUGGCAAGCGUUGUUCGGAAUUACUGGGCGUAAAGGGCGCGUAGGCGGCCUUCUAAGUCAGACGUGAAAUCCCCCGGCUUAACCUGGGAACUGCGUCUGAUACUGGAGGGCUUGAGUAUGGGAGAGGGAUGUAGAAUUCCAGGUGUAGCGGUGAAAUGCGUAGAUAUCUGGAGGAAUACCGGUGGCGAAGGCGGCAUCCUGGACCAUUACUGACGCUGAGGUGCGAAAGCGUGGGGAGCAAACAGG
rnacentral:rRNA from 1 species